UACGUAGGGGGCGAGCGUUGUCCGGAAUUAUUGGGCGUAAAGAGCGUGUAGGCGGUUCGGUAAGUCUGCCGUGAAAUCCUGGGGCUCAACCCCGGGCGUGCGGUGGAUACUGCCGGGCUAGAGGGUGGUAGAGGCGAGUGGAAUUCCCGGUGUAGCGGUGAAAUGCGCAGAUAUCAGGAAGAACACCCGUGGCUAAGGCGGUUCUCUAGUACGGUACUGACGCUGAGACGCGAAAGCGUGGGGAGCGAACAGG
rnacentral:rRNA from 1 species